AACUUUUGGCAAUGGAUCACGUGGCUCUCGCCUCGAUGAAGAACACAGCGAAAUGCGAUAAGUAAUGUGAAUUGCAGAAUUCAGUGAUUCAUCGAAUCUUUGACCGCACCUUGCGCUCCUUGGUAUUCCGAGGAGCAUGCCUGUUUGAGUGUCAUUAAUAUAUCAACCUUCUGUUGUUGAUUGGUUUGGAUGUGGGGGGUUUGCCUGGCCUCUUAAAAGGUUUUGGCUCCCCUGAAAUGCAUUAGCAGAACAACCCUGUUCAUUGGUGUGAUAAACUAUCUACGCUAUUGAAUGUGAAGGGCAGUUUGGCUUUCUAACAGUCCUCGGACAAACUCAUCAUUAAUGUGACCUCAAAUCAGGUAGGACUACCCGCUGAACUUAAGCAUAUCAAUAAGCGGAGGCU
rnacentral:misc_RNA from 1 species